GACGAACGCUGGCGGCGUGCUUAACACAUGCAAGUCGAACGGUAAGGCCCUGCCUUUGUGGGGUGCUCGAGUGGCGAACGGGUGAGUAACACGUGAGUAACCUGCCCUUGACUUUGGGAUAACUUCAGGAAACUGGAGCUAAUACCGGAUAGGAGCUCCUGCUGCAUGGUGGGGGCUGGAAAGUUUCGGUGGUUGGGGUUGGACUCGCGGCUUAUCAGCUUGUUGGUGGGGUAGUGGCUUACCAAGGCUUUGACGGGUAGCCGGCCUGGGAGGGUGACCGGGCACAUGGGGACUGAGAGACGGCCCAGACGGCUACGGGAGGCAGCAGUGGGGAACAUUGCACAAUGGGCGGAAGCCUGAUGCAGCAACGUCGCGUGCGGGAGGACGGUCUUCGGGGUGUAAACCGCUUUCGCCUGUGACGAAGCGUGAGUGACGGUAACGUGUAAAGAAGCACCGGCUAACUACGUG
rnacentral:rRNA from 1 species